rnacentral:tRNA from 1 species
UCCCUUUUGGUCCAAUGGCUAAAACUCUGAACUCCCAAUUAAGGGGACCCAGGUUCAACCCCUGGUCAGGGAG